GAUGAACGCUGGCGGCGUGCCUAAUACAUGCAAGUCGAACGGAAAUUUAACGCUGAGGCGAGCUUGCUCAAUUCUUGUUAAAUUUUAGUGGCGGACGGGUGAGUAACGCGUGGGUAACCUGCCUUACACUGGGGGACAACAGUUGGAAACGACUGCUAAUACCGCAUAAGCGCACAGAAUCGCAUGAUUCAGUGUGAAAAACUCCGGUGGUGUAAGAUGGACCCGCGUCUGAUUAGCUAGUUGGUGAGGUAACGGCCCACCAAGGCGACGAUCAGUAGCCGGCCUGAGAGGGUGAACGGCCACAUUGGGACUGAGACACGGCCCAAACUCC
rnacentral:rRNA from 1 species